GGUGGUGUGGUCUAGUGGUAUGACGUUUCGUUGUGGCCUGGUAACCAAGACCCGAUAUCCGAAAUAGCCAGGGUUCGAUUCCCUGCACCGCCA